rnacentral:piRNA from 1 species
UAGUUUAGGAUGGCCUCGGAUUAUACUU